CCUACGGGUGGCAGCAGUGGGGAAUAUUGGGCAAUGGGCGCAAGCCUGACCCAGCAACGCCGCGUGAAGGAAGAAGGCUCUCGGGUUGUAAACUUCUUUUAUCAGGGACGAAGCAAGUGACGGUCCUUUAUGAUCAAGCCAGGCCUACUUACGUGCAAGCAGCGGCGGUAAUACGUAGGUGGCAACCGUUAUCCGGAUUUACUGGGUGUAAAGGGCGUGUAGGCGGGAUAACAAGUCAGAUGUGAAAACCAUGGGCUCAACCUGGGACCUGCAUUUGAACCUGUUUGUCUUGAGUACUGGAGAGGCAGACGGAAUUCCUAGUGUAGCGGUGAAAUGCGUAGAUAUUAGGAGGAACACCAGUGGCGAAGGCGGUCUGCUGGACGACAACUGACGCUGAGGCGCGAAAGCGUGGGGAGCAAACAGGAUUAGAUACCCGAGUAGUC
rnacentral:rRNA from 1 species